GAUAUUUACAGUUUUGAGCAGAGAAGUUGUUCCCAAAUGUUACAUAAGGCUGCAUUACAGGAAAUAAAAUCCACAGGAAAUUCUCAUCUUGUUGUACCUAAGGACACCCAUUGUGAAGCAUAUCGUGUGUUUUAACCCAGAACUCAAGUUACUUUUAUUUUAUUUAGAUAAAUUGGGAUAAUGGCCAGCAGGUGAAGCAGGCUGAGAGGCGGGGUUAUACCCUGCAUCAUGAAUCAGUUUUGAAUAAAUUCUACCAUCUUAACAUAUUGUCACUGUCCAAUGAAAAAAUCCAUUACAGGAGCAUGGAAAAAAAACGCAUUUUCUCAUAAGCUACCUUAUAAAAUAAACCUAAAACAACAUAACAGGGCUCUAGAUUGUGACCAAAAUUGUCAUAGUUGUGACCUUUUAUUAAGAAUGAGAUUUUAGAUGUCAUUUGUGCUGUGCAAGUAUAUGAUAACUACUAGGAUGUUACGGGUACCGUGUUAAAUAAUGAUUGAAAGUUUUUUCAUCUUCCCUGGUUCAUUGUUUAUGUUUUUUUUUUUUUUAAUUGGUUUCUCAUUACCUGCACCCAGGGGGACGUAAAUAUAUGCAAACUGAUGAUAAAACGUGCAAAAUCGAGGUGUUAAAGCGAAGCUGUGGUGCCGAAAAAGGAGGCGGUCUACUGCUGAUCAAAAACAAACUGAAGAAAGAUAAUGAAGAGGGAGAGCCAAAGAGAGGUCCUGAGAGUGAUUCAAAUGAUGCUUGUCAGGGGCCACAUCGAAGCUGCUCUUCCCAGCUCCCUGGACCCACUCCAGUUUGGCUACCGCCCAAACCGAUCAUCUCACUAUGUACGUAUACACAGCUACUGGUGACAAAGUACCUUGAACCCUGAAUAUUAUUCCACCAUAAUACUAAAAUUAGCUAUAUUAAAAGCGUUCCAGGCAGUUUGCAAACCCUACAGACUAUUACAUACAUGUAAAUACAUGUGCAUGCAUAUGCAGACUUGUCUCGAAUUAAAAAUGUCACGCCAGCCAGCAGACCGAAGUUGGCAACCCCGAUUGCAUGCUCAAACUCUCGGCUUGGGUACACCGUGCAUCUUUGUCUCAGUAACCAACCUCACUGAUGUAGCUGUCCGAGUGACCAUGGGAUCUUGCAUUUCUCUCAGUAACUUUUAAACUUUCAUUGAUGUUAAUUUUACAUUUUUAAUAAUGAGUCAAAACGUAGUGCUCCCAAUGUAUACAGUAGUAACUUUGUACAUGCAGGGGCUUAAUUUAGAUGGUUUGUAUAUUAUAUAAAAAUAUCUUGAUAGAAAACGACAAUGUGAUUUGUCAUGCAAAGUGUACAAUACUGUUUGGUUAGAAAAUGGUAAUAAAUAAACUUUGAUGUAA